CCGAGAAUAUUCGACAAUGGGCGAAAGCCUGAUCGAGCGAUACCGCGUGAUGGACGAAGUGCUUCGGCACGUAAACAUCUUUUUGUCAGGGAAGAAAUUAUUGACGGUACCUGAAGAAUAAGGGGCUCCUAACUCUGUGCCAGCAGGAGCGGUAAUACAGAGGCCCCAAGCAUUACCCGGAAUCACUGGGCGUAAAGGGUGUGUAGGUGGUCAUAUUAGUCGUCUGUUAAAACCCAGGGCUUAACCCUGGACAGGCGGGCGAAACGGUAUGACUUGAGGAUGUAAGAGGUGCAUGGAACUCAUGGUGUAGGGGUGAAAUCCGUUGAUAUCAUGGGGAACACCGAAUGCGAAGGCAGUGCACUGGUACAUUCCUGACACUCAAACACGAAAGCGUGGGUAGCGAACCGGAUUAGAUACCCCAGUAGUCCCUGAGCGGGCUGGCAAGGCGCAU
rnacentral:rRNA from 1 species